GAUCCGGCUCAGGAUGAACGCUAGCUACAGGCUUAACACAUGCAAGUCGAGGGGCAUCAGAAAGAAAGCUUGCUUUCUUUGCUGGCGACCGGCGCACGGGUGAGUAACACGUAUCCAACCUGCCCUUUACUCGGGGAUAGCCUUUCGAAAGAAAGAUUAAUACCCGAUGGGAUAAUGAUUCCGCAUGGUUUCAUUAUUAAAGGAUUCCGGUAAAGGAUGGGGAUGCGUUCCAUUAGGUUGUUGGUGAGGUAACGGCU
rnacentral:rRNA from 1 species